AGAUUGACUCAUACAGUAGUAUAGUUUUUUAAUACAGAUUACCAUUUUGGAGUCUGCUCUGUAUGGAUGGUCUCUUAAUAAGAAUUUUCUUACAUGAAUCUGAUUCCAGUGUUCGAUCACUAUCUUUUAAUUGUUCCUUUUUUUUUCCCUCUGAAAAGUACCAUUUCCACCUCUAAGCAUUAUCCAAUUCAUCAUUUAGAAGCAACUGCUAUAAGUAAAACGGUUAACUGUCUGCUAACAGUUGCCUGUAGGGUUGCCUGUGCCAGAAUUUUACCCUUUACUUAAAACAGCAGAGAUGAACAAAAACUGAGUGCUACUGCAAGGAAAACAUGGAUUUCUAACGGCAUCUUUAUAAUCAACUGGCAAAAACAUAGAAAUUGCAUUGAAGUAAAUGCACUGUACUUCUUACAAAUAAUUGUGUGAUUUCCUUUGCAUGCUAUACUGCAGGAGAGGAGAUGGCAGUCCACGAUGAUAUUACAGAAGAUGCACCAAGUCAUACUGCUUUCAUGGAGACAGUGGAUUAACUGGAGUAUAGCUGACUGAGAGACUGAAGAAAAAUCAAAUACUUUCUGAUUCUCUGAAACCUGCAUUUUUCAACUGAAGACAGACUAAGUGAAUACUGUGAAAGACCCUAAUUCCUGAAAGACUUCUUUCCCCCCACAUUGUUCAACCAAGGUUUACUAGGAGGAGACCUGAGAAAAGAAUAGAAAAUCCUGAGCUGUAAGGAACGCAUGAGGAUCAUUGAGUGCAACUCCUGACUCCAUACAAGGCAAUCUAAGAGUUAAACCAUGUACCUAAAAGAUUAUUGUCUGAACACUUCUCGAACACUGACAGGCUUGGGGCCAUAUGACAACUUCCUGAGUGAGCCUGUUUCAGGGAAGAACUUUUUCCUAAUAUCCGAUCUGAACUUCCUCUGAGAGUAGCACCCAAAUGCCACAAGAGUGCCUGCUUGGCAUGUUGGGGCUGAAGAAACUUCUCUACCUACUCUCUCUUUCUCUGCAUUAGUGCAAGACAGAGGCAGUCACCUGCAUAAACUUUGCAAAGUAGACUUAUUUCUGGGACUGAUUUUUUUUUCUAUUUAAAUUUUUAGAGUUGUAUUU